rnacentral:rRNA from 1 species
GACGUAGGGUGCGAGCGUUGUCCGGAUUUAUUGGGCGUAAAGAGCUCGUAGGCGGUUUGUUGCGUCGGCCGUGAAAACCUGCAGCUUAACUGUGGGCCUGCGGCCGAUACGGGCAGACUUGAGUUCGGUAGGGGAGACUGGAAUUCCUGGUGCAGCGGUGAAAUGCGCAGAUAUCAGGAGGAACACCGGUGGCGAAGGCGGGUCUCUGGGCCGAUACUGACGCUGAGGAGCGAAAGCGUGGGGAGCGAACAGG